GACGAGCGCUGGCGGCGUGCCUAAUACAUGCAAGUCGAACGAGAGCAACCGGUGCUUGCACUGGUCAAUCUAGUGGCGAACGGGUGAGUAACACGUGGGUAACCUGCCCAUCAGAGGGGGAUAACAUCCGGAAACGGAUGCUAAAACCGCAUAGGUCUUCGAACCGCAUGGUUUGAAGAGGAAAAGAGGCGCAAGCUUCUGCUGAUGGAUGGACCCGCGGUGCAUUAGCUAGUUGGUGAGGUAACGGCUCACCAAGGCCGUGAUGCAUAGCCGACCUGAGAGGGUGAUCGGCCACAUUGGGACUGAGACACGGCCCAAACUCCUACGGGAGGCAGCAGUAGGGAAUCUUCCGCAAUGGACGCAAGUCUGACGGAGCAACGCCGCGUGAGUGAAGAAGGUUUUCGGAUCGUAAAACUCUGUUGUUAGAGAAGAACAAGUGCUAGAGUAACUGUUAGCGCCUUGACGGUAUCUAACCAGAAAGCCACGGCUAACUACGUG
rnacentral:rRNA from 1 species